UUGAACGCUGGCGGCAUGCUUUACACAUGCAAGUCGAACGGUAACAGGGUGCUUGCACCGCUGACGAGUGGCGAACGGGUGAGUAAUACAUCGGAAUGUACCCAGUCAUGGGGGAUAACGCUUCGAAAGGAGUGCUAAUACCGCAUACGCCCUGAGGGGGAAAGUGGGGGACCGCAAGGCCUCACGUGAUUGGAGCAGCCGAUGGCUGAUUAGCUAGUUGGUAGGGUAAAGGCCUACCAAGGCAACGAUCAGUAGCGGGUCUUAGAGGACGAUCCGCCACACUGGAACUGAGACACGGUCCAGACUCCUACGGGAGGCAGCAGUGGGGAAUCUUGGACAAUGGGCGAAAGCCUGAUCCAGCAAUGCCGCGUGCGUGAAGAAGGCCUUCGGGUUGUAAAGCGCUUUUGUCGGGGAGGAAAUCCUAGUGGUUAAUAACUACUGGGGAUGACAGUACCCGAAGAAUAAGGACCGGCUAACUACGU
rnacentral:rRNA from 1 species